UACCCGCUGAACUUAAGCAUAUCAUAAACCGGGAGGA
rnacentral:rRNA from 1 species